UUCUUUUUGAUUUUUUAAAAAGUAAAACCUGCUCAAUGAUUUUUAAAUGGCCGCGUUAUAACCGUGCUAAGGUAGCAUAAUAAUUUGUCUUUUAAUUAAGGUCUAGUAUGAAUGGUUAAACGAGGGAUUAACUUUUUUAAUUUAAUUAAUUAUAAUUUUAUAUUUUAGUUAAAAAGCUAAAAUAAAAUUAGAGGACGAUAAGACCCUAUAGAAUUUUAUUUAAAAGAAUACAUUUUAUUUUUAAUAAAUAAAAAAUGUAUUCUAUAAAUUUGAUUGGGGUGAUUUUUAUAUAAUAUUAACUAUAAAAUCUGGUUUUCAUAAAUUUAUGAAGUUUUGAUCCUUAAAUUAAGAUUAAUAGUAAAAAUUACCUUAGGGAUAACAGCGUAAUUUUCUUGGAGAGUUCUUAUUUAUAAGAGAGAUUGCGA
rnacentral:rRNA from 1 species